ensembl:lncRNA
CCGCGGGGGCUGGGGCCUUCGGGGAGCAGUUGGCGGCCGGGCUCCUCGUGGGACGCGGGGUUUGGGGUUGGUUCGGAGGGGUUUGGUUGCUGUUUGGCUUUUUCCGACGGUUCCGUCUCGGCCGGGAGCGGCUGGGCUUGGCGGUGCCGCUCCCGUUGCUGCGCGGUCUGAGCGCGGGCGGUCGAGUCGCGGCUGCCGGCGGCGGCUGCCCCGGCGCCCUCACAGCGCUCCUCACAGCGCGGAGCUGCGUCACGCGGCGGAGGGGCCCUCAGCCCGCUGCACCCCCGGGCGCUGCGCCAGCGCCUCAGUGCCGUCCGGAAGGACGGGAUGGAGCUCUGGGGGCAGCAGCUGUCAUCCGAUGGUGGGGAAGGUGUAGGAAAAGGGCUCCUCAGGUCAACUCGGAAGCCGGAGAAGAAAGGAAAACGCCUGCGCUCGGUCCGCGUUCCCCCGGCGGAGCGGGUCGGCACCUCGCCGCUCUUCGCUGCUGCCACAUGUACAGCUCCUCACCUCGAGACGUCUUCCCGGGCGUCUGGCUUCGCCUCUGCCUCACAGACAGCGCUGCGUGUGGCGUAAAUAGGCCGUUGUAUUGCACGGUGACCUUUGCAGGAAAGUUAAGUUAGCUGAAGGAAUUUAUACCGUCCCGGGAGAAGGAUUCUUCUACCUUUGAUUUCGGCUGAUGAGGACAUGGCAGGAGGGUGUUCACAAAAAUAAGCAUCCGUAUAACCAAGCGUGAGGGCUGCUCCAAAAGUAAUGCCUCCUGAUUUUGAUUCUGUGAUUCUGUUUUGUUUUGUUGGCCCACAGCAUCCGAGGUGGAUGUUGUUGGUAUGGCAGUGGAGGCUGAACCUUCCCACCAACAUCUGUUACGUGAUGUUGCCGUGUGACGGAUGGCAGCAGAGGGGCAGUCUGACAAAGUGGCAUCCGACAUGGGAGUCCAUAUGAAGCAAAGGUGUGGAAUUAAAUUCCUCCAUGCGGAAAAAAUGGCACCCGCUGACAUUCAUUGAUGCUUGCUGAACAUUUAUGGAGGCAAUCAAUGGAUGUGAGCACAGGGAGGCGGUGGGUGGGUGCAACAGAUGUAAGCCACAUUCUGGAUGUCCAUGCACAGCUGUCACACCUCAAAGUGAAGAGAGUCUCAACCAGCUCACCUACGUGAAUCAGCUGAUGGUGAUAGCUGUGUUGAAAAAUAGUGUUUUGUAGCUGAAUUUUGCUCUAUCAUAACACAAAUUGUGUUAUCAUUCUCUGUUGUAGUUUCCAUGGAAAUAAAUAGGAAGCAUUACCUUCAGAGCAACCUCUGAAUGUAUGUGUAUGUGGCUGUAACCGCAUAGAAUUGCAAUCCUCUUUCAGUGCAGUGGAAAUCAAGGUUGGUGCUUGGAAGUCUUUGAUAUUACUGGAUCACAGUCAGGCACAAAUGAUUGUUACUAUCUCUCAGCCCUUACCUAUAUUCAUAGUAACUAACCAGAUAGAGCCAAAUCAAUAUAGCUCUGUUUUAAGUCAGCUCAAGUGUAGUCCCAAGAAGAUCACAGAAUCACAGAAUGUCAGGGAUUGGAAGGGACCUCAAAAGAUCAUGUAGUCCAGUCCCUCUGCCGGAUUCCCCGUUAUGUUUUUAGAAUUAGAAAUGUAGUUUAGCUAGGUUAAUGACACUUGGACUGAGCACAGAGUAUUACGUAGCCUUCCUUUGUUUUCAGUCGCAGGAAAGAAGAAUCAUUAUGCAAUCAGUAAAUCCCAUCGAAAGCUGCUGAUGUGGCCUGAAUUGUGGAUAGCAAAUACUGCAGCCAGCAUCAGCGCUGUUUGGACUUGCCAGCACUGGGCAGAGGAAGUAGGGUGCACAAACAAGGUUCAGCUCAGCUUACUAAUUGCAGUAAGUACCUAAAAUAUCAUUCAGAAAACUAUUAAAAGAAGUCUGUGCGAUAAAAGAUGUUAGAGAGGUAUUUAUGUCAAAACAGCGUUGUGAGGCAGCUCAGUGAGAGCACAGAUGUUUGGAAACAAGUGUUUGCAGUAGGCAGUGAUUACCACGUAUUUUUAUUUGUGUGUUUCUGUGUCAUUGAUGGCUGUUGAUAUAAAAUGCUCUCUUGCAGUAAGUUCAAAGCCAACCACCUACCUACUAAUUUUGUGAUGCAUUUACUGUUAAUCCUCCCCGUAGCCUUCCCUUUGUAGUUAUCUUCUAUAUGAAACUAUAUUUACUGGAAUUUGUACAGACCUUGAUCUUCAACUGACUUCAACAACGCCGUCACGUACAUCAAAAUAAAUAGAUCUUAGUGCAGCUUUCCUAUACUCCAAAUGGAUCUUUUGUGUGUUCUAAUAAUAGAUUAUGCUACACUAUUAACAUGUAAGGUAAAGAAAGUAAUCCUAAGUAACCAAGAUUGUAACAACGGGUUACUUGUAUUGUUUCACAAUGAAACAAUAUGAAAGUGCUAUCAGAAUGCUGUGACUAGUGACAAGUAUCUGCUGCCUGGAACCUGCCAGUUGCGCUUCCCAGAUAGCGCAGCUGGGAUCUCAGUAAGAACCUGGAGCUCUCCGAUGCCUCCACAUCAUGCGUGGCAACAGCAGUUGAACAGCACAGAGGACCAUGGAAUAUGAGGCUCUGGGCAGCCUGGUCUAGUGGUUGGCGACCUUGCCGUGGCAGGGGGGGUUGAAACUAGCUGAUCUUUGAGGUCCUUUUCAACCCAGGCCAUUCUGUGAUUCUGUGAUGGAGUGCUUCCCGGCCCCAGGGCAGGGCAUGGGGCUGCAUGUGCCACCUUUAUCUGAAAUGCUGAUCUGCAUGUCUUAUAGAGUCCUCAGAGCAACUGGAACCAUGUAAGAAGAAAAGGAGGGGCUUUGUUUGCUCAUUAUGAGCGUAGAGUUCAUGAUUCUGAAAGAUGUCAGCGUUACAAUGUAAACAUAUCUGCAACACUUGUCUUAGGCAGUAUGGCACGCAGAACCCUGUUUCAGCUUAGAACAGAAAUCAUUUUUAGUGGUGAAAAUGGGUCAGAGUGUGGCAGUCCUCUCUGGGCUGGGACAUGGAGACAUCUGAAGAGGCAUCUAAGUCUGACAGUAGAUUGGAAUAUUAGCUUCUUGAUUAGUAGUACCCAUCCAUUUCAUAAAGAUUACUCAUUGCUUUGAAACCAAUUCAACAGAAUGUAAUACGCAGGGAUAACUUUUCUGCAGAUGCUUUGAUCUCUGAUAGCAUUUUCCAGUGAUUCAGCCAAGCGUUUUGGGACAAGGGGAAACCAUGGUUAGGUCACCUAAUGGCAGGAAAAACUCUGCCUGAAGAAGAAUAAGAAAACAUCUCUGGAAGACAGCUUGAUGUGCUGUGGGACCUGGGACUCGGAAAUACCUUAAUUAAGCUGAAACUGAUACUGUGUCAUGGUGGGGUAGAGGAGUGGGACCUAAAUAACCUGACCUCUGAGAAGAAUAUCCAGUGCAUCGUUAGGAUGCUUUGUCUGACUUCUUGUGGUACUCAGCAGGACCUCUGCAUCAUCACAGAACAAAUCUGCGGCUUCACAGACACAUCUUGAGUAAUCCUGACUGAGUUGUUUGGGGAGAAAGCUGAAAUGCUUGUAGUUUGUCCACGUUGUGAAGAGCUCCUGAGGAAUGUCGGAAGAAAACUGUCCUAAUGGCUGUCUGUUGUGGGUGACCCAGUUGAACAAACAAUUGGAUGGAUGGCUGCUCCUAGCUGAAGGGCUCUCACAGGGGAGCAGGAAUGGCACUCUGCAUUGGCUGCUGGGGCUUCUGCUCCCAGCCCUCAUCGGUCCGUUCUUGAAUCAUUAUGAUUUGCAGAGCAUCAUUUGAAAGGAAUCUGAAAUAGGUUUUCACACGUUGAUCACAUCCCCAAGAGCUUUGUAUGUCUCUGCAUCAGUUGGGUGUUUUUAAAAAACACAGAAGCUCCACAGGUCUGUCACCCCACCCUGCAAUAAGAGCAGUCGAAAGCCAAUGAAGAGUGCAUCUCUUCUUGCUGUAACGGUACUGUCCUAAAAUAGGCCCUGGUGUUCCAGUGCGCAGAAGGUGAAGGAUGGCAUAUAAACAAUUGCUUGUUUACUUUUCCCACACUUGGGAACUGGAGUAAAUUCAGCUCAGAGAUUCCACAGAAACACUUCCGAAUGGGGAAAUAGGAGCUGGGAAACAAAGCUGUGGAUUUGCUUAGAAGCAACCCGUUUCUUCCUCAAAAUAAGUCGAUGCCUUAAUCAAGUAGUCAGGUGCUUAAGGAAUCACAGGGAAUGGAAGAGACAGCUUUCCAGGCUUGUUGAGAAGAGGGGGAGCUGAUUGCCCACAGGAUGCUGCUCAGUUGUGGCAGAAGACAAAGGGAAUGGGCUGGUGGCAGAAAAGAAACCCCUGCUGGAGCCAAGAGAUCUCUGCUGUGCCUUGUUCUAUGGAAGGGUCACUAGGCCGCUGUCUCUGUUGCUGCUAAAGCACCUUUACAGACAGGCGUAGGUCUUUCUGCUAUUUGCUGUUGUUCUCUUUUGAAAUGGAGCAGUUUUUCAGAAGAAAGCACUCCCACUGAUCUUGUUCAUAAAUAUAGAGGCGGUGUUGUGAGUACGUAGUGUUACUCCGUCAGGCUUCAGGGCAGUGUAGGCUCAGAGCUUGCCAACAUAAUCUUUGGCCUUCUCUGCUAUCUGGGUUUGGAGCUUCAGGAUCUCUCAGGCUAUGGCGUGGGGAAGACCCCAGUUGUAGAUCCCCUGCAGUCACUCCAUCAGCCUGCACUAUCAGGCGCAGCAUCUCAGCAAUACCGUGUUUGUACAGCGCACACACCCUGCAUGCACCUACAAGCCUGCUUUAUCACUGCUAAGUCUCUGCUGUGAAAGUAGAUUUCUGCUGGUGGAACUGCCCUGCCAGGCAGGGAGGUGUGCUGACUGCUCUGUCCUGUCCUGUGCCGUUGUGCUGGGAGAGACAGACCGGGAAUCGGGCUCACAGAGCAUACAGGUCCCAAGUUCUUUUGUACCUCAUUUUGCUUUCACACUAUCACUGUUACCUGUGUGCAUUAUUACGCUGCCCAAUCCAGUAUUGAUCUUCAUAUUGUGUUUUAACAGAUUGGAGUUAGGAGCUUCUUCUGUCUCCUUUGCCUGUGUCCCAUGACUGUGGCAUAUGCUGCUUUUUAACCUUACCUUUGUUUCUCUGAGUCCCUUCUUAAAUAGGAUUUACAAUAGCUGUGAUUUUUCCUUACAUUUUCUUUUCUUCACCUUUUUCCCAAGUGGAUGGAAAUCUUAGCUUCUUCCUAAGCAAGGUGAAAGUAUCCCGCAUGAAGAAGUUUUGUGUGGCUCCAGCCACAGAGAUGCUGAGUACUUGUUUCUCUCUAUUUGACUAGAAAACAGUACCUGGCGAUGGCUGUUUGUUUAUAUGGUGUGCUUGGGUGUGAGGGGCAAAGCAGGCAGAUUUACAUUUACAUUUCUGUACUGCUUUUUUCUCGAGCUCCCACACAUGAGCAAUUGCCCUGCAGGGUAGGGUGGGGGUGAGAUAUGUGUGUUGCUCUUUAUUUCGCUAUAAACUUCGCUCUGAUUACUAGGACUUCUCCAGGGAAGACGAGCCCUGCCUUACCAUUGCUGGGGGUAUAAAUCACUCCUAAUUAAUACCACAGUUAAGCUGCCUGGAGAGGAAGGCAAAACUCAUACGCUUUGGCUGUGUCAUUCCAGUAAACCUGUAUGAGAGGGAGGCCAGACUGACAGCCUGCAGGCUCUGUGCCCUGGGGCAGAGACACAGGUUGGUAUCAGGAUGAAGUUGCUCAAGCUUUGGUGAAGUUGCUCAAGUUUUGACCCAGAUCCCAGCUGUCCAGGACAAUUCCUGACCUGUGGAGCUCUUGAAGGAGGAGCACAAGGCAGACAUGAGGAGGUAGGUGCAGCACCUCUCCAUUUUGUAUGUGAGGUUUUUGAGCAACACACUUGCCAAAGGUUUUGUGGGGAAUCUGCAGAGCCAGGAAUUUAUUAACCCCAUGCCCAUCUCUCAGGCUGGUGCCAGAAGCAGACAGGUAGUUUGCUAAAUGCUUCAGCCCAACUCCUGGAAAGUAUGCCUGCAUUCCCACUGAAACCAGCAAGUUCCCCAGUUUAGAAUGCAUUUAUUUUUAAACUGUACAGGCAGAGCCUACAUGUUUUGACAAAGUAGCGCCAGAGCAUUGAGUGCCUUGGAGAUUCUUAGCCCUUACUGACUGCUCGCUGAAAGCACUGCCUCAGCCUCCUGUGGACUCCCAGACAGUGCCUGAGAGAGUGCGUGGUGCCUUUCUCAGCCUGGCCUUGCCCUUUUUAGCUUAAAUCAAUAGCAAAGAUGAAGAUAGAGUGCAAAGGGAAAGAGUUCAGAAUGAACAGUGCUCACUAAAUAGACAACCCACAUGUGAAAUGUAGGAUUUUAAAUGCAAAUGCCUUCAUCUUGUCUUAUCAGAGCCAAUUGGUUUAGCCCCUGUGCUACACAGGUUGAGUUUAAAUGCUGUACGGAUAACUGAGCUGACACCAGUAUUUACAUGGGACAACUGAUGAUGCAGUGUUGUAGUUGGCUUCCAGGAAAGAUCUUACCCCGGGCAGAACAGAGUCAAUCUCCACCAAGGUUGUACUUUCUCAUCAUUAUUUCUCUCCUGUGUGAAGUGUAGGCAGUGGGCACCGAGCUUGGCACCACAGCACAGUGGAGCAGGAAGUAAUGGGGAUUUCCCUGAUAGCCCCAAGGUCACAGUAGUGAGCAUGCAGCAACUUGGGAAAAAGCAGCACACAGGAGAAUGUCAGAAGGUCCUGUCACCCUGGCUGUCCUGCAGCCUUGUUUGUAAGGUAAGGGAUGAGAACAUCUUGGUAACAACAUGCUUCAUCCCCCCUCCUUACAAUAAAGUUGAGGGGGUUUUCUGGGAAGGCUAACAGGUUGAAAGCAUUCCAGUUGCCACUGGUUGACUUAGCUCAGUGGAAGAAUAUGUGCCUGCCCAAAGGAGCUUUCUCCUUACCCUAAAUCAUGCAUUUCUUCCCUCUUCUGUCACAUCAGCAGACUUGCUCUUUCAACCUCCAGGGAACUGUUUUGUUUUUGCUUUCAAUAGGGUCAGUUUUCAGGCAAGUAAGUAGGCUGGUUUGACCCUGUAAAACUCCAUUCCCAAACUGUGGGAGUGAUGGAGACAACAAAAGCAAGGGGACAGGAGUUGUAGGGCAGACCCACCUCUUUUGGCAGUAACUCGGUUUUAGCUUUGAGUUUUAGUAAUUGUGAAAGUGCACGAAAAGCAGUCUUUUCUGUUUGGGAUGAAUGAAAGCCUUCCAGGUGUAAGCAUGGGGAAUUAAUUACAGCAUUCGCCCAGCCCAGUUCUUCUCCUGGAGUCUGACACGUGGCUGCCUCAUGUGAUGUCUCUUGGCACCGCAGAGACAUAGCAUCACCCACAGCUCUGGCAGCAGCUGCUGCUUUGAGCCUGUCAGCCUCCUCCACUGGCUGGAGUAGCAGUGAGUUUCUGCAGGUGCACGGCAUGCAUCGCCAUAGUCCCAGUGAAGCCACCGAGUGCGUGGAAGUCUAUGAAUGAGAGCAGCUAUCCAAUCAAGAAGGUAUUUUCUACACUGCAGGUUAAAUGGCCAUCUUUCCCUCAAGAGAUGUGUGUAUAAAAGACGUGGCUGGUUUUUACAGACAGUACUAUGAAGACGUCGGUCGUUUUGAGUUGCCCUUUGCACCGCAUCACUGUUCUGUGCUUUGGAAGUGGUUGCAGGGCUGGCUCAAGUUCUGUCGGCUGUGCCUGGGGUUAAAGCAGAUGCUUUGGCCCUCUGAACCCAGCCUGGCAAGAUGAGGGCAGGGAGGCAGGAUUUCCCCUCCGUUGUUUUCUUUGAGUUCCAGAGCUUCCAACGAGGCUGGGAGAGGGGAAGGGUGACCAAGGAUAUCUGAGCAUCUUCUCUGUAAGCAAGGCCAAUUAUACACACGGCAAUUACCUCAGUGUAAACAGCCCAUCGUACCGAGAUGGGGAGAGCCUUUUGAGCCUGGGGAGGGUGCUUUGAAGUGCUUCUGCUCAGAGAGUGUCCAUUAAUGCUGGGAAUUGCACCGGCCGCAGCCCUCGGCUGCGUUAAGAGGAGUUGGGCGGCGGUGCCUAUUGAGCUGGGCGGGAUGGCUGUUAGGUGCCCUCGGUAUGACAAAGCGGUCGUUAACAUUCCAGCAGCGAUGGGGCAGUAGCCAGUAGCAACGCUUGCCUGCCUCGGCCAGCCCUGCUUGCUGCCGCUAGCGGUGCCAUAAGGGCACUUCUCUCCUGUACGUGCUAGAAUUCCACUUUCCUAGCGGUAUCUGCACGAUUUCUCGCCUGUACUGUGGAAGAAUCUUAGCAAGUCACACCGAAGUUAAUAUAAAUUAUCCAUCUCUCAGCAGGGAGGAGGAUUAUGUCAAUUUCGGCUAAUAGCUGCCAAAUAAUAGACACACAGAUGCUCUUAAAUUGGUUUAAUUCCCGUUGGCUGGCCCUGACAAUUGGGAGCAAAGAUAAAUAUAUACAAAGCAUUCAAAGCUCGGGGUGUUAUGAUGCUAAUUGAAAAGUCACCAAAGGAAGCCCUCACGGUCUGUGGGAACCUCGGUGCACGGGAUUAGCGGCUAAUUAGCGGCUAGGAGCUGUCUCAUCCCGAGCACAGGCACCUCUGCCCAUGCAGUCAGUCCUUGCCCUUGAUACCAGCAAUAAAGAAACUGCUGUGGGCAGCAGGCAGUGUGAUGGUAGGAAGAUAACGUAGUAUUAGCAGUGUAACAAGUUCUCCCAUCAUGCACAGAAGCAAUGUCAGAAAUGCUUGCUGUGUCUUGGGCCACAGCAAACAUAAAGGCAUUUGAGGCCUGAGCUCUUCCCCUCCCCCCCCCCCCCUUUUUAACAAAUGCACAAGUCUUGUUAUGUGACUUUUUACCUCUUUCAUGUCAUGUUUGCAGCAGAGGACAGAACACAUUCUGGAGACCCCGAGCCUCAAACCCUGCUGUGGACUCUGCAGUGAGUGCACACAGGCAGUCGCAGCCCCUUCCUUGCACGGUGCUUUAGAAUCGUGACAUUUAAAAAACAUACAAUCCGUCUGUCAGCAUCCCAGUAUUUCCCUCUCAAGCUGUUCCCUGGUGGACAACUGAAGAAUCCGAGUUUUUCAAAUAACACACUUGUGUUAUGUGAACCCAAGGGCUCGGCCUGUGGAAAAAGAGAUUUGCAAAAUGGUACGAAUCAGUUGCAUCACUGGCACCGCUGAACUAAUCAGGGCUUUGUUUAAUGAGGGGUGCAUCUAUUUUGCUCAAUUACUUCCCGCUGGUGAGAAUCCUUCAUUUAUACUUUCAUUUGGGAAUGCUGGUUUUGGAACUCUCCGGAGUUACAUGUUUUCUUGUCCUCACAUUUGCUUUUUCAGAUCUGAAACAGCUGUAAACACAGCUUUAAACUGUUACACACCCUCACAAUUAAAUUAACCAGUAUUACACUUCACAAAGACACCAAGGAGCAAUAGCAGGGAGGUUCACUUGUGAGCUUUGGAGGAGCUAAAAAGCUUCUUUCCUGUGUUAACCAGCUCUGAGUAAUGCGGUUUUGCACAAGCUGGAGUCAGAAGUGGGUAAUGUGAGGAACCCAUGCUGGUAGGCAGUGACCUGCAGUGCGUGGGCUGGUGGCCUAAGUCAUCUCUUCUGGCAACCAGCAGAGGGGUGCUUGUAGCCUGGUUUCCUUAACCCUCCUGUUGACCAGCCCUCCAGACAGCUAACUCUCUUCUCCAGCUGCUGAGAAAUAGCUAAAUCGUAGAAUCAUUUAGGUUGGAAGAGACCACUGAGAUCAUCCAGUCCAACUGCCAACCCAUCCCCACCAUGCCCACUGACCAUGUCCUUCAGUGCCACAUCUCCACAGUUCUUCAACACUUUCAGGGACGGUGACUCCACCACCUCCCUGGGCAGCCUCUGCCAAUGCCUCACAACUCCUGAGAUGAAAUUUGUCUUUAUAUCCAAUUCCCCACCCCCCAGUACAACUUAAGGCCAUUACCUCUUGUCCUGUCACUAUUACAUGGGAGAAGAGGCCGACCCUCACAGUCAUCCACAGUGAGAGCUAACAAACAAAGAGGACCAUCCUUCAUAUAGCAGCUAUGUUGUAGAAGUGAUGAUCUGGGAAGAGGGUAGGGAAAAGUGAACAGACUUUUAGGCAUAGAAGUUCUUCUACAGAUCUGAAAGAAACCUCAGACUUCAAGCUAUUUUGCCCCCUCACAAAAUCCUGUAGAAAAAAGAGAUAACAGCCCCAUACAACCACCUCUGCUGUAGAUAAGCUGCCCAGCUGGCUGGGCAGCCCAAAGAACCCAGCUGCUCCAGGAGUCUUAAUAGCUUUUGUGGAGCAACAGAUUCCUGAAAUGAUGCUCACCGUUCAGUAUGUUUGUCAGAACUGGAAUGAGAUACACAGGAAUAAUAUUUUUCGGCCAAGGUAUUUCUAACUGGUUCUCGGUGGGUAUUAGUAAUAAUACAGCUGUCAGCUUUCGCAGUGUUUUUUAAGCAGAAGUGCUUUGUAUCUUUCAAGGUGUCUUCCCUUUUAUCUUAAGCAAAAUACCUGUGGGAACCAUUAGUAAUGGUUUCUGGUACUGCUGGACAAUAGUAGUGUGAAGAUACAGAGUGCAGCAACCCAUGCAGCAUAGGAACCCAGUGACAGGCUGGAAGGCACUCUGUGCCAGAGCGUGGCAAGGAGCGAGCAGCAGAUCAGACAGCUGCUUAAUCCCUCUGUGAGUUGAAAAGAGGGAGGAGACGCAAAUCAAGAAGAAGGAGAGGACCGUAGAGAAGAAACUGCAGAGGAAUUCCUGAUUUCUAUAGGAAUCUCUGCAUGACACACUGGGUCUGUGGGAGCCCAGAGCUCAGCUCAGCCCCUCAAAACCUGGUACCACAGCUGUAACUCUCAGGAUCUCUUCUGAGCAAAUCUCGUGCCAUUUAGGGAAGGUGCUGGGCUGAGCUGAAGCUGUGCAAGUACAGCUGUUCUCAUAUCAGCUAAGAAAAAGUAAAAAUCAGUUUAAAGCAUUAGCCUGUUCCAAAAAAAAAAAAAAACAGUGCUAAACCUCAUUCUAGAGCUACUGUUAAGUUGAAAUAUAUAUAUUUAAGUGCUCCUUCAAAUAAAGCCUAAAAACCCAUUUGCUUUUCCAGUGGUCUAAUGACUGCUUUUGCCAGGUUACUUCCAACAUAGAAUUCACCUACAGUCUAAAGCGAUGCCUGGGAGAUCCAAGCAUUCUGGUAUGACUGGGAUAAAGCUGAGGUGAGAGGCAGGUCAGAAUCGGGUGUACCAUGGAGGUAUCUGCAGCCUUUGUGGGGAAAGAUUACCAUCUUGGUGGGGAGAUCGUGUUUCUGUUAUUACCAGUAACAACUGGUUUCUACUAUCUACUCUCCCCUCUUUGUUGUCCGGUAGGCCCUGACAACUGAGGGACUCAAUGCAGCACGCAGGUGAGGCUGAGGCUGGGCUCAGAAGUGCCGUCAGAUGGUGUCACGCACGUGGGGAUGUGUGGUAGCACGGCCCCGGUCGCAGAGAGCCUGCAGUCCGAGCCAGGAGCCUGCAAGAGGGCAGCACGGAAAAGCAGUGACACCUGUGCUGUUUUUAAUGGGAUUUGUAGCUGUGGGGUUUCGACAGAACCCACUUUUUCUUUCAGUGCAUUCUGACGUGGAAGUAUGUGAAAUGUAUUACCACAAGAGCAGGCUGUCUUGUGAGUGCUUCUGCGGGGCAAUGUCUUUUCUGCAGAGCUAGCCAUGGGGACCGAGCUUUAGCUGGGAGCAGCUUGGUCGGCGCCAUUUUCCCUCUGUGGCCUGUGCAGGAAGCUAACACCAGCCGACUUUGCACACUGUGGGACCGUAACAGGCUGCUGCCUGCGCCCGGGAGCGCAGACCCUCCUGCUGCACUCGGCAGAGCAAGUCUGAACUGGGUGCAUGGAGCAGGAAAUGCCAGUUCACAGCCCUCCCACGUGGCUCCAGGCUGCGUGCACAAUGACUUUUCCAGCCCCCCAGACUCUGUACACAUGAAUCCCUUCACCGUCCAGACGCCGUUUUGGGAUUGGCACAGCAUUCUGUGAUCUUGGAAGGCCGCUCAUGUGGUGUGGGAGCCAUCGCACACGCCUCUUGCAUUGGGUGCCUGCUGUGCUCCGCUGCAGGUAUUGACGUGUAGGAGAGCUUUGUCACAACAAACAGCCAAACGCUGCGCUUUUUUUCCAUCCGUGGAAGAUACCGUCAUACUUUCCAAUCAGUCUCAGUGAAAACCAUCAGUGGGGCUGCAAAAAGGUUAAAGGUUUGCAAGUUUAGGAUUUGGUGGGAAUAUGUGCUUGUUUGGACUUGGCCCAAGAGCCUCAUUUACCUGUUUGACAGGUAACAAUUAGCGAGCAAUAGCUCUGCUGGCUGGAAUGCGGCUGCGAGGGCCAGCGGGCGCUGGGUUAGCGGGUGGGCAGGUGUGGGUGCAGCACCCAGAUAGGUAUGUGCAUGCACAGCAUUCCUGGGAAUCAGCUUUCCCCUAAAGAUGGAGCGAUGACUGCGGGGCACAAAAGGGCUGGGCUUAGCUCGGGCUCUGAGAGGUGAGCUGUUUGCAAGGUAAAGAAGUAAGGUAAACAGUGGGAGAGAAGGCGAGCUGACAAAGAGGCUGGGGGAAGCAGCUGCCUCUUUUUUUCAUGGUCCAGCAAUAGGAGAGCAAAGGAAGGGCUUGUAAGCUCACUUGGCACAGUGUAAAUGCGAAACGGCGAAACCAUUUGGCAGUCAGCUUAGAAACAGUUACGCUGCUGAUGUGCUCGUCCCUCAGCUCUGCCAUCAGCAGGAAUCCAAAUGCCAACGAGUUUAUCAAAUAAAACCAUUUACUGACAAGCAGCCUCGAUUCCAGCUCCUGCUGACAGCCCCUCCAGUGUCCCUAGGGGGAACUGGUGGGAUAAGUGAUGCUGGCUGUCAGGGACAUGGCAGGUGUUACACAACGUUUGAUAUCUCGCCCUCACAACAGGUAACCCUUCUGUUGUAGGAACAGAAAAGUUUGCUGAUUCUUUUCAUAUUUUAUUCCCAUUUGUGAACAGGCUUUUGUGUUUGUGUAUUUCCACUCAGGUGUUUCAUACUUGACAAGCAAGUCAUUGUGAGACUGGAGAAGCCACAUCCUUCUUCCUGGUCUCUGUAGUUCCACCUGCAGAGUUAGAGUAGUGUGUUCCAUCUUCCUAACCAAAGGAGACACAGAUGAAAGGGGCCUAAGUCAUCAUGUCAGCUGUGUUCGUGAGAGAAAGAGAGUAAAAGGCACCCAGGGACCGAGGCAAGAAGUGAACAGUGCCAUUCCCUUCCCUGCAUCUCCCAAUCUGCCCCAGACUUCCUCAGCUGGAGCUUGGAUCCACCACUCUACAUUUCAAACCUCUGAGUAAGUCAACACAUUUUGCCAAGUUGUCUGAUCACCAAUUGAACUCCUCAUCCACAGCAUUACGGUUCUUGUUUGUCUGCUUAUAUGUCUGCAGGAUGUGACAGGUACCUAGAAAAAUCACUUUGUCCCAGUGGCAUCCCUUGUUAAUGUCAAAGGGAGCUGCAUGGAGAGGCUGAGCUGUGGUUGGCACUGAACUCUGUGCUCCUCUGGUGUCUGGAAACGGGAAAUGUACUUGUAGGGAGACCAGACUCAGGGGCAGCCUUGUGAAAGAGUAUUUCUUCACCCUUCACUUUUUUAGGAGUGUGAACACAAGGAAUUUAAUCUUUUCAUUUGGUUACUGCUGCUCUCUGCUAUAUCAGCACAGCCGCCAGAGCUGUUGUAAACAUUUGAAGAGUGGCGUCAAUUAAAGGUGACUCAGGAACAAAUGUGAUAUGAAGAAUUUGGAAGGGUUGGAAGAACAGCCAGUGUGCCAAAUGCUUUUCUAAAUGGACAACUAGAGGGAUGAAGAAGAGGGUGGUUUGGGAGUCACCCUUCCCACUUCAGCUGUGCGGUUAUGGUGACUACAUGUCCUGUUUGGAAGCACACAGUGACUCGGAGGGCCAUCAUCCCACCAGUGCAUGAAGCUUGCAGUGAGUCAGCCCCUGUAUGUUACAAGGCAGGAUGGCUCCAGCUGCUAUUCAGGCUCUGUACAGUUUGACACUACUUCAGGGCGGAUAUGGGGACUCCAGAGAAUAUGGCAAGGGCUGUGUUGCUCACAGGUAACUGCCAGUAAGGAGCCCACCAGGUAAAGUGGAUCAGAGAUGGCAUCCAUAAUAGUCUCUCACCCCAGCAAAGCAUAUUCUAGAAGAGCGGUGUUGAAAAAGGACCAACUCAAAGAAAUUCACCACCACAGGUUAUUCCCAGGCAGCACUACCCUACGCGAGAAGUAACAAAACACAUGACCUUACUCUCUGUGAAGUGUUUGUGGAGCUUUUGUCACCAUAGCACCGAGUCACCAAAUACAGAAAGGUCCCUCCCGUGAUUCAUAACUGAACCCACAGUGGCUGCUGCUAUUUUCUGCAGUCCUUCUCACCCUGCCAGUGGAUGGCAGCUGAGUGGAGCAGUGCUGAGCACUCGCCGGCCUCUCUCUCUUCCCAGUGCCUUGCAAACAACUCCCAGUUCUCAGCAGCUUUUUGAGCUGUUCUGGGCACCUGAGGAGAGCAGGUGGUUCUGCGGUCAUUUCAUACAACCACAGGUCUGGUCAGAGUAAGGACACGAAGUGAUCUGCACUAUAGGACCUUGGGCAGAGUUGGCCAUCACCAGACUUCAGCUCUUUGUGAAGGAGUUUUCUGACAUAGUUAUCAGUCUGAGACUUACAGAUUAAGAAUUUUAUAGCCAAAAUACUUCUGCUACGCGUGACAGUGACAAUAGAUAACAAUACAAUAUUUGUCCAAUCGGUUUUCAUAUUUUUGGACACGAGUCGCGUUUUUUACCUUCCGAUGCUGGACUGCUCUGAGAUCCCAAUGUUAUUGGAGGUCUUUUCCAACCUUAAUGAUUCUGUGACUACAUUUUCCCACAUCACUAGUGAUAGGACAAGAAGGAAUGGCCUCAAGUUGUGCCAGGGGAGGUUCAGGUUGGAUAUUAGGAAAAAAUUAUUCUCUGAAAGAGUGGUCAGGCAUUGAAACGGGCUCCCAGGGGCGGUGGGGAAGUCACUGUCCUUGGAGUUGUUCGAGAAGCAUUUAGAUGUUGUACUAAGGGACGUUGCUUAGUGGAGAAAAUAUUGGUGGUAGGUGGACGGUUGGACUGGAUGAUCUUAGAGAUCUUUUCCAACCUUGGUGAUUCUGUGAUUACUGGAGGGGGAACAAGCUACCACGGACUGUAUCUGCAGGAGAAUCGCUUCCUAGAUGUAAUCUGAACCGUGAAUGGCAUUUCAUUUGGCAGAACUAGAUAUUUUGGGUGGGACGCGAAACUGGAGAAGUGGGAUGGCAGAAGUGGGUGUGUUAGUACAAAGUUGGUAGAGGUCUGGGAGCUCUUCAGCAGGAGGUGGUGGCUGGGCAGCAAGAUCUGCAGGCAUGGCAGUGAGAAACCCACCAAUGGACACUGAAAAAAGGCACCUCCAGGCAGAGGAGGUGCAGAGGCUGCUGCAGAACGGGUGAUGGGACCUGUGGGCAUGGCCUCAUGGCGGCAGGCUCAUGGGGAUUGGGAACGGCCCCCGAGGAGACUGAGAGCACAGGAAGUCAGCCUUAGGGGGAGUCCUGGGUCUGCACAGUGCAGAGAGCGGAGGAGGUAUUCCUCAAAGAAGUGACUACCACGAAGCAAACAGAACAAUCUCAAUUAAAGGGCAGUAGUAGCACAGGACAAUACCAACCUUAACAUAUUCCAGGUGGUAAAGAAUAGAUGGCCUCCAACCAGGAGAGGAGCAAGUUACUGGAAGAGAUCCCUGGGAGGAGCAGUGGGAAUGGGAGUGUGGGUGCUUGAGAUGCAGCAUGGAGGGGAGGCCCUGUCGGCACUGCCUGGAGCACAGUGGGUACAUGAGCCCUCCAGGAGCACCUGCUUGAGCAGCUUCUGUUUUGGCAGCUCCCAGCUGUCAGAACCACCACUCUUUCAGAGCACUUGGGGAGUGUGACAGCAGGUCUUCCGCAGCAUCAGUUGUUUUAUUUCUGUGAAUAAGGUGAUUCAUGUAGGCCUAAUUAUGUACUGGCAACAGUAGUAGAAAACCUUGAGUACUGUGUUCAGUUUGGGAUGCCUCGCUACAAGAAGGACAACAAGGACCUGGAAUGUAUCCUCAGAAGGUCAACAAAGCUGUGAGGGGUUUGGACCACAAGUCUUAUGAGGAGCAACUGAGGGAACUGGGAUUGUUCAGAAGAGGAGGCUCAGGGAAGACCUUACUGUACUCUACAACUGCCAAAAGAAGGUUGUGGUGAAGGGGCGGUCAGCCUCUUCUCCAGAGUAACAGGGAUAGGAUGAGAGGUGAUGGCCUCACGCUGCGCCGGGGGAGGUUCACGUUGGAUAUUAGUAAACAGUUCUUCUCAGGAAAAGAGGUAGUGCAUUAGCACAGGCUGCCCAGGGAGUGGUGGAGUCACCAUCCCUGGAGGUGUUCAAGGGAUGUGUACAUGUGGCACUGAGGGAUGUGGUCAGUGGGCAGUAUUGGUGAUAGGAGGACGGUUGGACUGGAUGAUCUUAGAGGUCUUUGGCAACCUGAAUGAUUCUAUAAUUCUAUGAUUCUAUGAAAAGAGAAACAGAAGAGAGAAGCUAUCUGUGUUUAACAAAACCAAUACACUGCCACCAGUGAUUAAAUGCUGACACGCUGAACGUGUCUCACCCAAGGCUUGUAGGGACAAAGCAAACAGUGUGCUGUUUGUCUGCAGCCCAGCAAUCGAUGGCAAGCGUUUGUGGGAAAUAAACCAAUAAACCAG